rnacentral:rRNA from 1 species
CCUACGGGGGGCUGCAGUAACGAAUCUUCCGCAAUGCGCGAAAGCGUGACGGGGCAAUGCCGCGUGCAGGAUGAAGCCCUUCGGGGUGUAAACUGCUGUCAGGGUGCAGGAACGAAAUGACCAUACCCAAAGGAAGCACCGGCUAACUCUGUGCCAGCAGCCGCGGUAAUACAGAGGGUGCGAGCGUUAAUCGGAAUCACUGGGCUUAAAGGGUGCGUAGGCGGAUGCAUAGGCGCUUUGUGAAAUCCCACGGCUCAACCGUGGAAUUGCUUGGCGAACCAUGCGUCUUGAGGUUGGUAGAGGUCACUGGAACGAUAGGUGGAGCGGUGAAAUGCGUAGAUAUCUAUCGGAACGCCAAAGGCGAAGGCAGGUGACUGGGCCAAUUCUGACGCUGAGGCACGAAAGCGUGGGGAGCAAACGGGAUUAGAUACCCCGGUAGUCCACGCUGUAAACGAUGCGCACUUGGUCGGAGUGGUUUGACUCCAUUCCGGCCGAAGGAAAACUGAUGAGUGCGCCGCCUGGGGAGUACGGUCGCAAGAUUAAAACUCAAAGGAAUUGACGGA